UUUGGCUCAGGAUGAACGCUGGCGGCGUGCCUAACACAUGCAAGUCGAACGGUGUAAUGAUUGAAGUUUUCGGACAGAUAUCAUUACAUAGUGGCGGACGGGUGAGUAACGCGUGGAGAACCUGCACUGUACUGGGGGAUAGCAGCUGGAAACGGCUGGUAAUACCGCAUGAGACCACGGGAGGGCAUCCUCCUGAGGCAAAAGAUUUAUCGGUACAGGAUGGAUCCGCGUUUGAUUAGCCAGUUGGCGGGGUAACGGCCCACCAAAGCGACGAUCAAUAGCCGGCCUGAGAGGGCGGACGGCCACAUUGGGACUGAGACACGGCCCAGACUCCUACGGGAGGCAGCAGUGGGGAAU
rnacentral:rRNA from 1 species